GAGAAAAUAACUCAAUGGUAGAGUGUUAGAUUGUCAAUCUAAAAGUUGCGGGUUCAAGCCCCGUUUUUCUCG